CGGGACACGUGGUAUCCUGUCUGAAUAUGGGGGGACCAUCCUCCAAGGCUAAAUACUCCUGACUGACCGAUAGUGAACCAGUACCGUGAGGGAAAGGCGAAAAGAACCCCGGCGAGGGGAGUGAAAAAGAACCUGAAACCGUGUACGUACAAGCAGUGGGAGCCUCUUAAUGGGGUGACUGCGUACCUUUUGUAUAAUGGGUCAGCGACUUAUAUUCUGUAGCAAGGUUAACCGAAUAGGGGAGCCGAAGGGAAACCGAGUCUUAACUGGGCGUUAAGUUGCAGGGUAUAGACCCGAAACCCGGUGAUCUAGCCAUGGGCAGGUUGAAGGUUGGGUAACACUAACUGGAGGACCGAACCGACUAAUGUUGAAAAAUUAGCGGAUGACUUGUGGCUGGGGGUGAAAGGCCAAUCAAACCGGGAGAUAGCUGGUUCUCCCCGAAAGCUAUUUAGGUAGCGCCUCGUGAAUUCAUCUCCGGGGGUAGAGCACUGUUUCGGCAAGGGGGUCAUCCCGACUUACCAACCCGAUGCAAACUGCGAAUACCGGAGAAUGUUAUCACGGGAGACACACGGCGGGUGCUAACGUCCGUCGUGAAGAGGGAAACAACCCAGACCGCCAGCUAAGGUCCCAAAGUCAUGGUUAAGUGGGAAACGAUGUGGGAAGGCCCAGACAGCCAGGAUGUUGGCUUAGAAGCAGCCAUCAUUUAAAGAAAGCGUAAUAGCUCACUGGUCGAGUCGGCCUGCGCGGAAGAUGUAACGGGGCUAAACCAUGCACCGAAGCUGCGGCAGCGACGCUUAUGCGUUGUUGGGUAGGGGAGCGUUCUGUAAGCCUGUGAAGGUGUACUGUGAGGUAUGCUGGAGGUAUCAGAAGUGCGAAUGCUGACAUAAGUAACGAUAAAGCGGGUGAAAAGCCCGCUCGCCGGAAGACCAAGGGUUCCUGUCCAACGUUAAUCGGGGCAGGGUGAGUCGACCCCUAAGGCGAGGCCGAAAGGCGUAGUCGAUGGGAAACAGGUUAAUAUUCCUGUACUUGGUGUUACUGCGAAGGGGGGACGGAGAAGGCUAUGUUGGCCGGGCGACGGUUGUCCCGGUUUAAGCGUGUAGGCUGGUUUUCCAGGCAAAUCCGGAAAAUCAAGGCUGAGGCGUGAUGACGAGGCACUACGGUGCUGAAGCAACAAAUGCCCUGCUUCCAGGAAAAGCCUCUAAGCAUCAGGUAACAUCAAAUCGUACCCCAAACCGACACAGGUGGUCAGGUAGAGAAUACCAAGGCGCUUGAGAGAACUCGGGUGAAGGAACUAGGCAAAAUGGUGCCGUAACUUCGGGAGAAGGCACGCUGAUAUGUAGGUGAAGCGACUUGCUCGUGGAGCUGAAAUCAGUCGAAGAUACCAGCUGGCUGCAACUGUUUAUUAAAAACACAGCACUGUGCAAACACG
rnacentral:rRNA from 1 species